rnacentral:rRNA from 1 species
CGGCGGACGGGUGAGUAAUGCCUAGGAAUCUGCCUGGUAGUGGGGGACAACGUUUCGAAAGGAACGCUAAUACCGCAUACGUCCUACGGGAGAAAGCAGGGGACCUUCGGGCCUUGCGCUAUCAGAUGAGCCUAGGUCGGACUAGCUAGUUGGUGAGGUAAUGGCUCACCAAGGCGACGAUCCGUAACUGGUCUGAGAGGAUGAUCAGUCACACUGGAACUGAGACGCGGUCCAGACUCCUACGGGAGGCAGCAGCC